GACGAACGCUGGCGGCGUGCCUAAUACAUGCAAGUAGAACGCACAGUUUAUACCGUAGCUUGCUACACCAUAGACUGUGAGUUGCGAACGGGUGAGUAACGCGUAGGUAACCUGCCUGGUAGCGGGGGAUAACUAUUGGAAACGAUAGCUAAUACCGCAUAAUAUUGAUUAUUGCAUGAUAAUUGAUUGAAAGAUGCUAUUGCAUCACUACCAGAUGGACCUGCGUUGUAUUAGCUAGUAGGUGAGGUAACGGCUCACCUAGGCGACGAUACAUAGCCGACCUGAGAGGGUGAUCGGCCACACUGGGACUGAGACACGGCCCAGACUCCUACGGGAGGCAGCAGUAGGGAAUCUUCGGCAAUGUACGAAAGGCUGACCGAGCAACGCCGCGUGAGUGAAGAAGGUUUUCGGAUCGUAAAGCUCUGUUGUAAGAGAAGAACGGGUGUGAGAGUGGAAAGUUCACACUGUGACGGUAUCUUACCAGAAAGGGACGGCUAACUACGUG
rnacentral:rRNA from 1 species